rfam:Noviherbaspirillum sp. Root189 contig_16, whole genome shotgun sequence.
GAAGCAAGCCAGACAGCCGCUGGCUAUCGCAAGAUAGCGGGAGGAAGGUCCGGACUCCACAGAGCAGGGUGACGGCUAACGACCGUCCGCCGUGAGGCGCGGAAUAGGGCCACAGAGACGAGCGUAUUAAGUUACGGUGAAACGCGGUAACCUCCACCCGGAGCAAUUUCAAAUAGGCACGCAUUGAUGCUGCUCGCGGAGCGUGCGGGUAGAAAGCUUGAGCCGUGGAGCAAUUCACGGCCUAGAGGAAUGGCUGUCAUAGCGCGCAAGGGCAACCCCAGGCGCCGUAACAGAAUCCGGCCUAUCGGCUUGCUUCACUU